CAAAUAGUUGUCCUAUAAUAGUCUGUUAUUUCCAACGAAGAAGAAGAACAGAGGCCCUUAUCAAAAAGGACAGACAGGAAGACCAUGUUCCAUGGAAGAGAAGUAAAGGGGUCCAACUCUUUCACCCUUUGAAUACGUCUUGAAUAGGAUCAUCUUUGAAUCUACGUCUAUUCAAAAGAAGAAUGGAAAAAUGAGCAUGACAGUUUUGUCAGUUCUAUCACUGAUCAGCAGAUAGAUGAGGAUUUCUCCGUCUACCUUACAUGGGAGAUCCUUGAGUACAUGCUCAAGAAGUUAUAUUAUUAUAUGACAGUUCAUCUCACAAACGACAGGUCAACGAGACUCCUAUCUUGUUGUUUUGUUUAGUUUUUUUGUAAAUCUGUUGAGUUAUUCCUCAGGGGUUCCAGAAGAUCUCCCUUCUCUGUGUUACCUAUUCCAAGGAAGGAGUGUCUACUCUGGGUGAAUGUGUUCUAAUAGCAGGUAGGAGUGUCUACUCUGGGUGGAGCUCUAAUAGCAGGUAGGAGUGUCUACUCUGGGUGAAUGUGUUCUAAUAGCAGGUAGGAGUGUCUACUCUGGGUGAAUGUGUUCUAAUAGCAGGUAGGAGUGUCUACUCUGGGUGAAUGUGUUCUAAUAGCAGGAAGGAGUGUCUACUCUGGGUGAAUGUGUUCUAAUAGCAGGUAGGAGUGUCUACUCUGGGUGAAUGUGUUCUAAUAGCAGGUAGGAGUGUCUACUCUGGGUGAAUGUGUUCUAAUAGCAGGUAGGAGUGUCUACUCUGGGUGAAUGUGUUCUAAUAGCAGGUAGGAGUGUCUACUCUGGGUGAAUGUGUUCUAAUAGCAGGAAGGAGUGUCUACUCUGGGUGAAUGUGUUCUAAUAGCAGGUAGGAGUGUCUACUCUGGGUGAAUGUGUUCUAAUAGCAGGUAGGAGUGUCUACUCUGGGUGAAUGUGUUCUAAUAGCAGGUAGGAGUGUCUACUCUGGGUGAAUGUGUUCUAAUAGCAGGUAGGAGUGUCUACUCUGGGUGAAUGUGUUCUAAUAGCAGGUAGGAGUGUCUACUCUGGGUGAAUGUGUUCUAAUAGCAGGUAGGAGUGUCUACUCUGGGUGGAGCUCUAAUAGCAGGUAGGAGUGUCUACUCUGGGUGAAUGUGUUCUAAUAGCAGGUAGGAGUGUCUACUCUGGGUGGAGCUCUAAUAGCAGGUAGGAGUGUCUACUCUGGGUGAAUGUGUUCUAAUAGCAGGUAGGAGUGUCUACUCUGGGUGAAUGUGUUCUAAUAGCAGGUAGGAGUGUCUACUCUGGGUGAAUGUGUUCUAAUAGCAGGUAGGAGUGUCUACUCUGGGUGAAUGUGUUCUAAUAGCAGGUAGGAGUGUCUACUCUGGGUGAAUGUGUUCUAAUAGCAGGUAGGAGUGUCUACUCUGGGUGAAUGUGUUCUAAUAGCAGGUAGGAGUGUCUACUCUGGGUGAAUGUGUUCUAAUAGCAGGUAGGAGUGUCUACUCUGGGUGAAUGUGUUCUAAUAGCAGGUAGGAGUGUCUACUCUGGGUGAAUGUGUUCUAAUAGCAGGUAGGAGUGUCUACACUGGGUGAAUGUGUUCUCAUAGCAGGUAGGAGUGUCUACUCUGGGUGGAGCUCUAAUAGCAGGUAGGAGUGUCUACACUGGGUGAAUGUGUUCUAAUAGCAGGUAGGAGUGUCUACUCUGGGUGAAUGUGUUCUAAUAGCAGGUAGGAGUGUCUACUCUGGGUGGAGCUCUAAUAGCAGGUAGGACUGUCUAGUCUGGGUGAAUGUGUGGAGCUCUAAAUUCUGUUCUACCUUUGUCUCUGUCUCUCCCUCUGUCUCCCCCUGUCUCUCUCUCUCGUUCUUGUCUCUCCCUGUCUCUCCUUGUCUCUCCCUCUCCCUCUCUCUGUCUCUUCCUCUCUCUAUUGUCUCUCCCUAGAACAGUAAAAAUCCUUUAAUAUUCAGAAUCUAACUGUCCACAUCACCAUUAGUCAGGAGCCACAUCACCUAGCCAGCAGCCUCCACCACUCUGGAGCAGCCUUCUCACUGUGGCAAAUGGUUGACUCCACAAUACAAGUUACUCAAUAGCUACACUACCAAGUUAUCUCCCUGUAGUUUUCGUGAACAUUUCAUUCAAUUUACUCUACAAGAAUCGAGGCACUUCUCAACUCACAC